rnacentral:lncRNA from 1 species
CGAGGACCCCGGGCCUUCACAAAUCCACAGUUCUGCAGCACCUUCGGGUUCCUCACGCACUGGCUGAGCUCUCUGCGGCUGCUAGAAAAAAACGCCUCCGACCUCUCGGUGUCUGUGGAGCAAGAGGAACCAUGGGCGUCUCUUUGUGUCCUCUCUGUAAAAGGCACCUGAGCCCAGCUCUGGAUGGGAACAGCAGAAACGGUGUGAGCAUCUUACUUCAGUCUUGAUUCUGGCUCAAGUCAAUGCCUGGCUGGCGGUGCUCUUGGUCUCACAUGGCUCUCUUCUUGGUUUCCGGUUCUCCCACAGUCUCUUGCCUCAACAUGCAACUCCUUACUUGGGCUCUUCUUCAUCCAGGAGGAGGGAUUGAACUCGGGACCUUGCGCUUGCUAAAUUUUGGUGUUUUAAAUCCGAUUCCUCAGAUGUGCACAUGAGAAUCACCUGGGAAGCACGGUAAGUACAGAGCCUGGAUUCCUUCUGCUGAUUCGGAGUCUCUGUGGGGGACACUCUGUGGACUUGAGUUUUAAUAAGCUCUCCAGGUGGUUCUGGUUUGCAGCUGGCAGAUUUAUUCAUUCAGCAACCCAGGGGAUCACUUUAC